CCCUAUAAAAGGCCUCAAAAGCUUGUUUGUGCUUUUUUCCCCCCCUCAGACACGAAAACAUCCGUGGAGCUCAAGUUUGAGGUGAAAGCAGGCUCAGAGUCCACCUGUCCUCGCUGAUCCAUGGAUUUCUGUGUGACCAGCUUUGGGGCACAACCUGAAGACCCUCACAGUCACCUUCCCCAUCUCCACCCUCUGGUAUUCAUCAGACAGGAGCAACAGCUCAGCCACGUUCAACUCCACUGAGAGGGUCCUGCAGAGCCUGGGGAGACCCUGGUUCCAGCAGCUCCUGGCCUGAGAAGGAUGGGGAGCCA